AGCGAGUAUCUGCCCCUCACUCCCACGUUAAUUCACUGUCAGCCUUCCCCCACGUUCGCACUCAACUGGUUACAGGUUCUCUACUCAGGCCCACUCUGGCCUUUGAGAGAGGGAGCACAGUACAGCACUGUGUGGGCAGGAUCCCUCUGGAGUCUCCAGCUUGUUGACUGUGGAUUAGUCAGCCCAGACCAAGAGCUUUCUGCUGGAUGAAGAGAACAGUACAGGCCGCUCAGAUCUCAACCCAACUGAACACUUUUGGGAGAUUCUGGAUCGGUGCCUGAGACAGCAUUUUCCACCACCAUCAACAAAACACCAAAUUAUGGAAUUUCUCGUGGAAGAGAGGUGU